UACGUAGGUGGCAAGCGUUGUCCGGAUUUACUGGGCGUAAAGGGCGUGCAGGCGGUCUGUUAAGUGCAGGGUGAAAGCUCCCGGCUCAACUGGGAGAGGUCCUUGCAUACUGGCGGACUUGAGGGGGGUAGAGGAAAGUGGAAUUCCCGGUGUAGUGGUGAUAUGCGCAGAUAUCAGGAGGAACACCGGUGGCGAAGGCGGGACUCUGGGCCGAUACUGACGCUGAGGAGCGAAAGCGUGGGGAGCAAACAGG
rnacentral:rRNA from 1 species